UGGCUCGUGGUUGGAAAGAUUUUUUGGUUGGGGAUGGGCUCGCGGCCUAUCAGCUUGUUGGUGAGGUAAUGGCUCACCAAGGCGUCGACGGGUAGCCGGCCUGAGAGGGUGACCGGCCACACUGGGACUGAGACACGGCCCAGACUCCUACGGGAGGCAGCAGUGGGGAAUAUUGCACAAUGGGCGCAAGCCUGAUGCAGCAACGCCGCGUGAGGGAUGACGGCCUUCGGGUUGUAAACCUCUUUUAGCAAGGAAGAAGCGAAAGUGACGGUACUUGCAGAAAAAGCGCCGGCUAACUACGUGCCAGCAGCCGCGGUAAUACGUAGGGCGCAAGCGUUAUCCGGAAUUAUUGGGCGUAAAGAGCUCGUAGGCGGUUUGUCGCGUCUGCUGUGAAAUCCCGAGGCUCAACCUCGGGCCUGCAGUGGGUACGGGCAGACUAGAGUGCGGUAGGGGAGAUUGGAAUUCCUGGUGUAGCGGUGGAAUGCGCAGAUAUCAGGAGGAACACCGAUGGCGAAGGCAGAUCUCUGGGCCGUAACUGACGCUGAGGAGCGAAAGGGUGGGGAGCAAACAGGCUUAGAUACCCUGGUAGUCCACCCCGUAAACGUUGGGAACUAGUUGUGGGGUCCUUUCCACGGAUUCCGUGACGCAGCUAACGCAUUAAGUUCCCCGCCUGGGGAGUACGGCCGCAAGGCUAAAACUCAAAGGAAUUGACGGGGACCCGCACAAGCGGCGGAGCAUGCGGAUUAAUUCGAUGCAACGCGAAGAACCUUACCAAGGCUUGACAUACACGAGAACACCCUAGAAAUAGGGGACUCUUUUGGACACUCGUGAACAGGUGGGUGCAUGGGUUGUCGUCAGCUCCGUGUCGUGAGAUGUUGGGUUAAGUCCCGCAACGAGCGCAACCCUAAAAAAAAAAAAGGAAAAAGUUUAAUCAGAAAAAGAA
rnacentral:rRNA from 1 species